rnacentral:rRNA from 1 species
AUUGAACGCUGGCGGCAUGCCUUACACAUGCAAGUCGAACGGCAGCGGACCUUCGGGUGCCGGCGAGUGGCGAACGGGUGAGUAAUAUAUCGGAACGUACCUUUCAGUGGGGGAUAACGUAGCGAAAGUUACGCUAAUACCGCAUAUUCUGUGAGCAGGAAAGCAGGGGAUCGCAAGACCUUGCGCUGAUUGAGCGGCCGAUAUCAGAUUAGCUAGUUGGUGAGGUAAAGGCUCACCAAGGCGACGAUCUGUAGCGGGUCUGAGAGGAUGAUCCGCCACACUGGAACUGAGACACGGUCCAGACUCCUACGGGAGGCAGCAGUGGGGAAUUUUGGACAAUGGGCGCAAGCCUGAUCCAGCCAUGCCGCGUGAGUGAAGAAGGCCUCGGUG